CUUGCUAGAAGUGGAUUAGUGGCGCACGGGUGAGUAAGGUAUAGUUAAUCUGCCCUACACAAGAGGACAACAGUUGGAAACGACUGCUAAUACUCUAUACUCCUGCUUAACACAAGUUGAGUAGGGAAAGUUUUUCGGUGUAGGAUGAGACUAUAUAGUAUCAGCUAGUUGGUAAGGUAAUGGCUUACCAAGGCUAUGACGCUUAACUGGUCUGAGAGGAUGAUCAGUCACACUGGAACUGAGACACGGUCCAGACUCCUACGGGAGGCAGCAGUAGGGAAUAUUGCGCAAUGGGGGAAACCCUGACGCAGCAACGCCGCGUGGAGGAUGACACUUUUCGGAGCGUAAACUCCUUUUCUUAGGGAAGAAUUCUGACGGUACCUAAGGAA
rnacentral:rRNA from 1 species